GUCUCCUGUCGCAAAAUCCGAAAAAAAGAAAAAAAGAAAAAAAAAAGUAAAUUAGUUGAAGUUGGCUUCCGUUUGCGUCCACCCAAAAUCUCUCCUCCAAUUUGCCGGACACCCUAAAUCGCGCGCAGCACACACUCUCUCUCUCUCUCUCUCUCUCUCUCGCAGCAGCAGCAGCAGCAAAAGCAAAAGCAAAAGAUAACAGCAGAAGAAGAAGGGGCAGUCCCACUCCCACCAGGUGCCAUAUUCAUUUGUCCUUGUGAACAAACCAACACUUCGCAAAGGAUUUUACUUGCUAUGCUUCUGUCAAGAAAAACUUCUGACCCUUGUCACUGUUAGUUUGGACUGACUGUGUACCUGACUGGAGUUUCUUUCUUUCCUUCUUUUCUUUUGGGUUGGUUGUGGUGGCAGUGUUUGAAAUGUACCCUUGAAAAUCACUUCUAAUCUGUGUUCCUGAAAGAAAUUCUUAGAAUCAUGUGACCCUGAUAUUUUCUUGUUUAAGUGGAUACAUGGCUAAUCAUUCUUUAACUGUAGCUGCACCCAACACUUCUCUUGAUAUAAUUGAUCAUCCAUUAGCCAUUGGCCAAGAAUUUGCUGAUGUAGAAACUUGCCGAAGAACAUUAAAAGAUAUUGCCAUAGCACUGCAUUUUGAUCUUAGAAUAGUUAAAUCAGAUCGCAGUCGGUUUAUAGCCAAGUGCAAUAAAGAGGGUUGUCCAUGGCGUGUUCAUGUAGCCAAAUGUCCUGGAGUUCCAACCUUUACAAUUAGAACCCUACAUGGAGAGCAUACCUGUGAAGGAGUUCGCAACCAUCAUCAUCAGCAAGCAUCGGUAGGUUGGGUUGCUAGAUCUGUGGAAGCACGCAUUCGGGAUAAUCCACAAUACAAACCAAAAGAGAUCCUGCAAGAUAUCCGUGAUCAGCAUGGAGUUGCUGUUUCCUACAUGCAAGCUUGGCGUGGGAAGGAGCGUAGCAUGGCUGCACUUCAUGGAACUUUUGAGGAAGGGUAUCGCCUUCUUCCUUCAUACUGUGAGCAAAUAAGGAAAACAAACCCGGGAAGCAUUGCAACUGUUGUUGCCAUCGGACAAGAAAAUUGCUUCCAGCGCCUCUUUAUAUCUUAUCGUGCGUCAAUAUAUGGGUUUAUAAACGCUUGUAGACCACUAUUAGAACUUGAAAGAGCACAUCUUAAAGGAAAAUACUUGGGUACAGUACUUUGUGCAGCUUCUGUUGAUGCUGAUGAUGCAUUGUUUCCAUUGGCUAUUGCUAUUGUUGAUGUGGAAAGUGAUGAGAAUUGGAUGUGGUUCAUGUCAGAAUUGCGAAAACUUCUUGGUGUUAAUACUGACAACAUGCCUAGGCUUACAAUACUAUCGGAAAGACAAAGAGGCAUAGUUGAGGCUGUGGAAACUCAUUUUCCAAGUGCUUUUCAUGGUUUUUGUCUGCGUUAUGUUAGUGAAAAUUUCCGUGAUACAUUUAAAAACACAAAAUUGGUGAAUAUCUUCUGGAAUGCUGUCUAUGCACUUACAGCAGUUGAAUUUGAAAGCAAGAUUGCUGAGAUGGUAGAAGUUUCGCAAGAUGUGAUACCAUGGUUUCAACAAUUCCCUCCCCAACUUUGGGCUGUUGCAUAUUUUGAGGGUGUGCGAUAUGGCCAUUUUGUGCUGGGGGUCACAGAGUUGUUAUAUAAUUGGGCCCUUGAAUGUCAUGAACUCCCUAUUGUGCAAAUGAUGGAGCAUAUUCGCCAUCAAUUGACAUCUUGGUUUAAUGAUCGCCGAGAUAUGGGCAUGAGGUGGACCUCUAUUCUUGUACCAUCUGCUGAGAAGCGGAUUUUAGAGGCAAUUGCAGAUGCUCGUUGCUAUCAAGUACUUCGUGCAAAUGAAGUUGAGUUUGAGAUUGUGUCAACUGAGCGGACAAAUAUAGUGGAUAUACGAAGUCGUGUUUGCUCAUGUCGCCGUUGGCAGCUGUAUGGUUUACCCUGUGCACAUGCUGCUGCUGCACUUAUUUCUUGUGGGCAAAAUGCCCAUUUAUUUGCUGAGCCUUGUUUCACAGUAGCAAAUUUCCGAGAGGCCUAUUCGCAGAUGAUAAAUCCUAUUCCAGAUAAAAGCCAAUGGAGAGAACUAGGUGAGGGGGCAGAGGGUGGAAGUGCCAAGGUUGAUAUCACGAUACACCCACCGAAGACUCGCCGACCACCUGGAAGGCCCAAAAAGAAGGUUCUACGUAUAGAGAGCUUUAAGCGGCCAAAGAGAGUUGUUCAAUGUGGUCGCUGCCAUAUGUUAGGACAUUCACAAAAGAAAUGCACAAUGCCAAUUUGACCUGAGGAAUAUCAGUUUCUGUAAAAAGUUUUAUUAGGGAUGUCCCUAGUGAGAAAGGAAUAGUAACAUGAAAAAUAUCAGGUUGCAUAUGAGUGCAUAUCUUUAAAUGAGAGGCCAGCUUGGCCAAAAUGAUUUAGGACUCGUUCAAUUUGGUUGCAACAGCACUGAUGUGCUGAUACUUAAAUGGCACUUUAAUCGUUCCUCUCCUAAUUACUUUCUGCUCAUCGAAUAAAAGUUGGAUGACCUAUGGAAAAUGAUGUUUACAAUUGAGACUUCGGGUAGCAGAUGGAAAUGUAGUCAUUUUCAUUGCAUUUUGACUAGUCUCUCAUGCAUAUGUUGGUUUGUGGUCGGUAAUAUUAGCUGGCAUCAUUUACAUUAUUCAUUACCAUUACUUCGAGACUUCGAGUUGAUACUUUUGUCAGGUUUGUUAUAUUGGUUGAACAUUAGAGCUUUGUGAUACAUUUGGUAGUGUUUGGGAAUUUAUUAUUUUGCCCAUUGAUUAACAACAAUAUAAGAUAAAUUCCCCAACCCCUGAA